rnacentral:rRNA from 1 species
UGGGGAAUAUUGGACAAUGGGGGGAACCCUGAUCCAGCCGUGCCGCGUGUGUGAAGAAGGCCUUUUGGUUGUAAAGCACUUUAAGUGGGGAGGAGGCUUACCUGGUUAAUACCUGGGCUAAGUGGACGUUACCCACAGAAUAAGCACCGGCUAACUCUGUGCCAGCAGCCGCGGUAAUACAGAGGGUGCGAGCGUUAAUCGGAUUUACUGGGCGUAAAGCGCGCGUAGGUGGCUAAUUAAGUCAAAUGUGAAAUCCCCGAGCUUAACUUGGGAAUUGCAUUCGAUACUGGUUAGCUAGAGUAUGGGAGAGGAUGGUAGAAUUCCAGGUGUAGCGGUGAAAUGCGUAGAGAUCUGGAGGAAUACCGAUGGCGAAGGCAGCCAUCUGGCCUAAUACUGACACUGAGGUGCGAAAGCAUGGGGAGCAAACAGGAUUAGAUACCCUGGUAGUCCAUGCCGUAAACGAUGUCUACUAGCCGUUGGGGGAUUUGAUCCUUUAGUGGCGCAGCUAACGCGAUAAGUAGACCGCCUGGGGAGUACGGUCGCAAGACUAAAACUUAAAGGAAUUGACGGACACUCAUCGUAGUCGUGGGAGACAAGGCACACAGGGGAUA